rnacentral:rRNA from 1 species
UACGAAGGGUGCAAGCGUUACUCGGAAUUACUGGGCGUAAAGCGUGCGUAGGCGGUUUGUUAAGUCUGUUGUGAAAGCCCCGGGCUCAACCUGGGAAUGGCAAUGGAAACUGGCGAGCUAGAGUACGGUAGAGGAGAGUGGAAUUCCCAGUGUAGAGGUGAAAUUCGGUAGAUAUUGGGAAGAACACCGGUGGCGAAGGCGGCUAACUGGUCCGGUACUGACGCUGAGGUGCGAAAGCGUGGGAGCAAACAGG